rnacentral:lncRNA from 1 species
AUGACGGGGGUCACACUUCACCAUCUGGUUGGCAGGCUCGAAGCAGGCAUUGGUGAUCUCCGCCACCGACAGCUGCUCGUGGUAGGCCUUCUCUGCAGAGAUGACCGGCGCGUAGGUGGCCAGGGGGAAGUGGAUGCGAGGGUAGGGCACCAGGUUGGUCUGGAACUCUGUCAGGUCCACGUUGAGGGCCCCGUCAAAGCGAAGGGAGGCAGUGAUGGAGGACACGAUCUGGCUGAUGAGGCGGUUGAGGUUGGUGUAGGUGGGGCGCUCGAUGUCCAGGUUGCGGCGGCAGAUGUCAUAGAUGGCUUCGUUGUCCACCAUGAAGGCACAGUCCGAGUGCUCCAGCGUGGUGUGGGUGGUCAGGAUGGAGUUGUAGGGCUUGACCACUGCGGUGGACACCUGGGGGGCUGGGUAGAUGGAGAACUCCAGCUUGGACUUCUUGCCAUAGUCAACAGAGAGCCGCUCCAUCAGGAGGCAGGUGAAGCCGGAGCCCGUGCCCCCUCCAAACCUGUGGAAGAUGAGGAAUCCUUAGAACCCUGUGCACUGGUCAGCCUAUUCAGGGAAGAGGACGAGAAACCUAUGGCAUGCAGUACAGCUGAUAAAAAGGAAAGAUGCAAAAGCUUCAUGAAUUCCUUGGAAGUCUUUUCCAAAAGAUCAAGAGAUCAGCAUGGAGAGGAACAACCAGGAAUAGGAGCACCAGACUGAGCAACUAAAAGUAUUUCAUGUAGC